CUCAAGCUCUAGCCAGACAAAGUCCAAGCAUGGAGAUGGAGAGAUGGGAAUGAACUUCCACCAGCAGCGGAAGAGCUUGGUGUCUGAUAGCUUACAGAAAAGGGAGGAUGUGCUUUCUUUAAGAAUGUGACCCCUGGGAAUAUGGCCACACUCCAGGGCAGGUCCCACUCCCAAGAGCAGUUGGGCAGCACAAACAGAACUUGGUGAGAGGGAGAAGAAAAUUGAGAGCUGGAGGAGUGGGAUUUAGCCAAAGACAGGAGAGCAUUAAUCCCAGCAGCCCCCAUGCUCAAAGGACAAACUGGAAACCCCAGCAUAUGUGACAGACUAAGGCCUUCUCGGGGUACCUGUCAGCCGGAAGAUGAAGCAGGAGAAGCAGCAGCUGGAGAGAUGCCAGCUGUCCAUCACUUGAAGCACCUGCCAUCCUGACUAUGUCAAGUGCAGCCUGGCAGCCAGCAUUGCCCACCACUGCUAGAAAAGACCCAGAAGUGGAACCUUAUCCCCAUCCCGAAUCCGGGCUGCAGACCGCAUCCAUUCACUGGGGUGUUGGAACGAACCAGUGAGAAAUAGCUUCAAAAUGGAGUCUGAAUAAAUGUUGAAUGGAUUCCAAAUCCGAA